AGAGUUUGAUCCUGGCUCAAGACGAACGCUGGCGGCGCGCCUAACACAUGCAAGUCGAACGAAGCUCAUAAAUCUUGUUUUUUCAGCAUAGAGUAUAACGGGAGAGAAAGGCGUAAGUAUCAUGCCCUAGAGUGGGGGACAGCCUUUGGAAACGAAUGCUAAUACCGAAUAAGCCGCCGGUGCCGCAUGACACUGAGGGAAAAGGAUUUAUUCUCUUUAGGAUGGACUCGCGUCCGAUUAGCUAGUUGGUGAGGUAACGGCCCACCAAGGCGACGAUCCAUAGCCGGCCUGAGAGGUUGACCGGCCACAUUGGGACUGAGACACGGCCCAGACUCCUACGGGAGGCAGCAGUGGGGGAUAUUGCACAAUGGGGGAAACCCUGAUGCAGCGACGCCGCGUGAAGGAAGAAGGAUUUCGGAAUGUAAAGUUCUAUCAUCAGGGAAGAUAAUGACGGUACCUGACAAGGAAGCACCGGCUAAAUACGUGCCAGCAGCCGCGGUAAAACGUAGGGUGCAAGCGUUAUCCGGAAUUACUGGGUGUAAAGGGAGCGCAGGCGGGAAGACAAGUUGGAAGUGAAAGCCAUGGGCUCAACCCAUGAAUUGCAUUCAAAACUGUUGUUCUAGAGUAUCGCAGAGGUAGAUGGAAUUCCUAGUGUAGCGGUGGAAUGCGUAGAUAUUGGGAGGAACACCAGUGGCGAAGGCGGUCUACUGGGCAGCUAACUGACGCUGAGGCUCGAAAGCAUGGGGAGCAAACAGGAUUAGAUACCCUGGUAGUCCACGCCGU
rnacentral:rRNA from 1 species